CUGAUAUUCCUGUCCUACAGUGAAGAUCGACUCACUAAACAUGUGCACGUCUCACCAGGAGAGAAAAUAUUUGUUGAAAAGAGCUUCAAAACAAGCUAUAAAUAACACCCAUCAUAUCUAUCAGCUUUGUCUUCUCCUGUUCUAAGGCAGUUGCAACCAGAAUUUUCUCAUAUUUGCCCAGAGCAAGGACUUUUCAUUUUGGAAGAGGCAUAUUCUUUUCUCAAGAAAAUGAGGAAGUGGGUAGAAGUUUGCCCAAGGAAAUAAUGAUAGUCACCACGAUAAUCUGAUCAGGUACCUCUGAAAUGGCAAAACACUGAGCAGCACUUGCCAAAUAAAUUAAGGGAGACAACUGCCUUCUGAGUUAAUUAUCUUUACAUCAGGUGUAUGGAAUGUUCAGAGGAUCCCCUUGGGUUUUCUGUCAUUUUGGCUGAGUAGAUAUCUUAACAAUUAUCAUAGACUCUUUGUAGGAUUUGGCAAUAAGUUAUUCUAAUAUGAAAAUUCAAUUUCUGAAUAUACUUCCAAAAAUAUCCCGGUGAUUAUCUGGAUGACAUACAGUCUUUACCCUCUGGGUCCUACAUUGUAGAUGACAUAACAGUUGUUUGCUACAGUAACAAGUACCUAUACUAGCAGAGCCAUGAUUUCUAAUGUAAGAGGGAAGAAACAUGCAGCAGUUUAGUCAAUAGGUAUGUACGUACAUGUACACACAAUUCCAGUUUAUGGCUGAAUAAAGAUCAUUAUCUGAUAUAAUAUCGAGGUCCAUCAUUGUCAAAUAUGUUGAUGUUAGAUGUAGUUUUCGAGGAAGGGAGUCUGAUGCCCCCUUGAUACCCCCUACCAUCCCAGAAACCACCCCAUGUGAUCAGUUUGUGAACAGAAUGAGAUACAGGCAUUUGACGAGCACUGAGAGAUCUCUAGAAUUUCUCCUAAUCACAUCACUGACGGAGAAAACUGCCAUCUGCCAGCAGAGACUGUAUGCCACAGACAACAUAUGUCGUAUGGAAGUUGAUGUGGCGACUCUGGUGUGACUAAACGAAGGAUGGCACCCCCCUAAAAUCUCAAUGGUAAGGGUCCAGAACCAAAUGUUUCUAAGUGAUUACAGUAUUAUUGGAGGAAUAUCAGCUGCUCUGACAACAAAAAAUCUGAGACUGGAUUAGAGGGAUAGAGAGGAUGACUCAUGUAGUGAGGGUGUGAACACUUUUCCAUCAUGUCAAUUCUAUGCACUGAAAAUUUAUAGUUACCCCAUUUUAUUUAUCUCUAGUUUCAGGAAGAAAAAAGAACAGUUAUUGUCUCACAAGAAUCAUUCUUUCCAUCACCUGAUCAUAAAAGCUUCUACAGUACAAAUGGAAUAUAAUUGUUGAAAUACAUUUAUAUCAAUCAAUAAAAUUUGUAUAAAUAUA